AUACGGAGGGUGCGAGCGUUAAUCGGAAUUACUGGGCGUAAAGCGUACGUAGGCGGUUGGUUAAGUUAGAUGUGAAAGCCCCGGGCUUAACCUGGGAACUGCAUUUAAAACUGGCGAACUAGAGUUGAGUAGAGGGGAGUGGAAUUUCAGGUGUAGCGGUGAAAUGCGUAGAGAUCUGAAGGAACACCAGUGGCGAAGGCGACUCCCUGGACUCGAACUGACGCUGAGGUACGAAAGCGUGGGAAGCAAACGGGAUUAGAUACCCGAGUAGUCC
rnacentral:rRNA from 1 species